AUCUUUCCCAAUCCACCCAUGCC
rnacentral:miRNA from 1 species